rnacentral:lncRNA from 1 species
CACCAGGUUCUAGAAGGCCCUGCUCUCUGAUUCCUGUGCUUCCUGCUCAGGGAUCUCACCAGAGCCCUGCCUUUGGGGAGAGGCAAUGGCUGAUCGAAGCCUGGAGGUGAAUGUGUCAAUGGGCCAUCCUCGAUGGUCAGGCAGUGCCUUGGCUCAUCUGGGCAUCAUUCUCCAAUCUGGAAAACGAUCUAGCUGUUGGAAAGACAGUCAACCUUAGACUUAGCCCCCUGUAGUGUGCAUUUUGUUUUUCAAGAAAAUCAUAUAUUCAUAAAAUCCACUUUCAUAAAAUCAAAAUCCAAGGCCAUCAAAGCAGAGGGCCCCUUGUGGCUCAGCAGUAAUGGACCCGAGGAAUAUCCAUGAGGAAGCGGGUUUAAUACCUGGCCUUGCUCAGUGGGCAAAGGAUCAGUGAGCUGUGGAUUAGGUGGUACAUCCAUCUCUGAUCACGGGGGGCCAAGUCCAGAAUGGUGGCAGAGGCGAUCUUGUGUAUCUCUGAUCGACCACCAGCCUAGAACUUCUCCAUGCCAUGCGUGGAGAUCCCAAAAUCAAUAUAAAAUCUACAUUUUUUUUAAAAAGUUACACCUUGCCAUUUGUUACUAUUGAGUCAUUGAAAUAAAGAAUCUUUUCAUCUUUGCCCAGGAAAUACAUUAGUACAUGAAUUUUAUCAGAAGAAAGAUAUCCAUUGAAAUCCUAUCACCGUGUAGUAAGACAUCUACCAAAUGGCCUUCAUUUCUCUUCACACUCCCGCUGACUGUUGAAGACUUGUGGUUUAUGCAAUGAAAUAAUGCUGAAAAGAAGGGAAAAAUCCUCCACCAGGAACAGAGAACACCAUUGCUCCUGGAAAGGUGAAGUGUCAAUCUGCACGGGUGCUCUGUAUCUUCUGUGCGGCUUAUGAAACAGGUGGGCAGAGUGAUGGAUGGACUCAUGCAUCAGCAUUAUCCCUGAGGGAUCUACCAUGUGGCCAUUAUUUCUCAUCAGAGAAAGAAGUGAAAGACCCACUCCCUGAUAGCUCUUUAAAGAGUUGUGGUUCAUGCAAUGAAAUAAUGCUGAAAAGAAGGGGAAAAUCCUCCAUGAGGAACAUAGAACACCAUUGUUUCAGGAAAGGUGAAGUGUCAAUCUGCACAAGUGCUGUAUCUUCUGUGUGGCUUAUGAAACAGGUGGGCAGAGAGAUGGAUGGACUCAUGCAUAAGCAUUAUCACCGAGGUGAGUCACGGUGAGUGAAACUAGAGAGGCGGUAAGUAUGGACAGGUUUUCAUACAAAAUUAGUGACCAUGUGCAUGUCAAUUGUUUCCAUUUCAAAAAAGAAAUUCCUGUUGCCUGUGGUGCGAAAGAAUUGUGGAGAGGCUUGCUCUGCCAUUUACCUGGUUGAUUUUUGAGAAGAUUCAUGAAAGAAUAGCCAAUAGUUUUACAUUCUUGAUGUUUUUCUUUUCACUGGCAAUAGACCAACAUAGGCCAAAUGUCGAAAAUCCUUUUGAAUACAAAAGUCCUACUUGCCAGCACUGAGUAGCACUGGUACCAUUUUUAGUCGCAUUUCCUAGAUAGAGAUGUUGUUUGGCCUGUUGAAGGAAAUACAUAUGUCAUAAGUUUUAGGUGGUCUAAGAAGAGGUCUAGUAUAUGGUUUCUUUUUUUUUUAUAUGAUGAUAUUUAUUUUAGUGAAGCCUAAAUAUUUAUUUAUAUGUAUAUUUUUAUUUUCCCACUGUACAGCAAGGGGGUCAGGUUAUCCUUACAUGUAUAUAUUACAAUUACAUAUUUCCCCCACCCUUUCUUCUGUUCCAACAUGAGUAUCUAGAUAAAGUUAUCAAUGCUAUUCAGAAGGAUCCCCUUGUAAAUCUAUUCUAAGUUGUGUCUGAUAAGCCCAAGCUCCCGAUCCCUCCCAGCCCCUCCCCCUCCCAUCAGGCAGCCACAAGUCUCUUCUCCAAGUCCAUGAUUUUCUUUUCUGAGGAGAUGUUCAUUUGUGCUGGAUAUUAGAUUCCAGUUAUAAGUGAUAUCAUAUGGUAUUUGUCUUUGUCUUUCUGGCUCCUUUCACUCAGGAUGAGAUUCUCUAGUUCCAUCCAUGUUGCUGCAAAUGGCAUGAUGUCAUUCUUUUUUAUGGCUGAGUAGUAUUCCAUUGUGUAUAUAUACCACUUCUUCCGAAUCCAAUCAUAUGUUGAUGGACAUUUGGGUUGUUUCCAUGUCCUGGCUAUUGUGAAUAGUGCUGCAAUGAACAUGCAGAUGCAC